GCCCUGGUGGUCUAGUGGUGGAGAUUCAGCACUCUCACUGCUGAGGCCUGAGUUCGUUCCCAGUCAGGGAA
rnacentral:tRNA from 1 species